rnacentral:rRNA from 1 species
GACGAACGCUGGCGGCGUGCUUAACACAUGCAAGUCGAACGGAAAGGCCCUGCUUUUGUGGGGUGCUCGAGUGGCGAACGGGUGAGUAACACGUGAGUAACCUGCCCUUGACUUUGGGAUAACUUCAGGAAACUGGGGCUAAUACCGGAUAGGAGCUCCUGCUGCAUGGUGGGGGUUGGAAAGUUUCGGCGGUUGGGGAUGGACUCGCGGCUUAUCAGCUUGUUGGUGGGGUAGUGGCUUACCAAGGCCUUGACGGGUAGCCGGCCUGAGAGGGUGACCGGCCACAUUGGGACUGGGAUACGGCCCAGACUCCUACGGGAGGCAGCAGUGGGGAAUAUUGCACAAUGGGCGGAAGCCUGAUGCAGCAACGCCGCGUGCGGGAUGACGGCCUUCGGGUUGUAAACCGCUUUCGCCUGUGACGAAGCGUGAGUGGCGGUAAUGGGUAGAGAAGCACCGGCUAACUACGUG